rnacentral:rRNA from 1 species
UACGAAGGGGGCUAGCGUUGUUCGGAUUUACUGGGCGUAAAGCGCAUGUAGGCGGGUCGUUAAGUUGGGUGUGAAAUCCCGAGGCUCAACCUCGGAACUGCCUUCAAAACUGGCGACCUGGAGCAAGAUAGAGGCAAGUGGAAUUGCGAGUGUAGAGGUGAAAUUCGUAGAUAUUCGCAGGAACACCAGUGGCGAAGGCGACUUGCUGGAUCUUUGCUGACGCUGAGAUGCGACAGCGUGGGGAGCAAACAAA